rnacentral:rRNA from 1 species
CGUAGAGACGUUUGUAGUCCUGGCGUCAGGAUGAACGCUGGCGGCCGUGCUUAACACCAUAGGCAAAGGUCGAAACGGGGGUACCCCCGAAAACGGAAGUUUUCGGUACGAACGUAGCGGGGAAGUACCUAGUGGCGGACGGGUGAGUAACGCGUGAGUACCUGCCUUGGAGUGGGGAAUAACAGCUGGAAACAGCUGCUAAUACCGCAUAAUGCAGUUGGGUCGCAUGGCUCUGACUGCCAAAGAUUUAUCGCUCUGAGAUGGACUCGCGUCUGAUUAGCUAGUUGGUGGGGCAACGGCCCACCAAGGCGACGAUCAGUAGCCGGACUGAGAGGUUGGCCGGCCACAUUGGGGCUGAGACACGGCCCAGACUCCUACGGGAGGCAGCAGUGGGGAAUAUUGGGCAAUGGGCGCAAGCCUGACCCAGCAACGCCGCGUGAAGGAAGAAGGCUUUCGGGUUGUAAACUUCUUUUCUCAGGGACGAAGCAAGUGACGGUACCUGAGGAAUAAGCCACGGCUAACUACGUG